UUGAAUUGAAGAGUUUGAUCAUGGCUCAGAUUGAACGCUGGCGGCAGGCUUAACACAUGCAAGUCGAACGGUAGCAGGAAGAAGCUUGCUUCUUGCUGACG
rnacentral:rRNA from 1 species